rnacentral:rRNA from 1 species
UACGAAGGGGGCUAGCGUUGCUCGGAAUCACUGGGCGUAAAGCGCACGUAGGCGGAUCCUUAAGUCGGGGGUGAAAUCCUGGAGCUCAACUCCAGAACUGCCUUCGAUACUGAGGAUCUCGAGUCCGGGAGAGGUGAGUGGAACUGCGAGUGUAGAGGUGAAAUUCGUAGAUAUUCGCAAGAACACCAGUGGCGAAGGCGGCUCACUGGCCCGUAACUGACGCUGAGGCACGAAAGCGUGGGGAGCAAACAGG